rnacentral:rRNA from 1 species
CGCAGCCGCGGUAAUUCCAGCUCCAAUAGCGUAUAUUAAAGUUGUUGCAGUUAAAAAGCUCGUAGUUGAAUUUCGGGGUUCUACCGUUGGUCGGGCUAACCAGUCUGUACUAGCGUGUAAAAUUCCUACCUUCUGGAGAACCAUCAUGUUAUUAAUUUAGCGUGGUGGGAAACCAGGACCUUUACCUUGAAAAAAUUAGAGUGUUCAAAGCAGGCUUACGUCUGAAUACAUUAGCAUGGAAUAAUAGAAUAGGACGGUGGUCCUGUUUUGUUGGUUUCUGAAUCACCGUAAUGAUUAAUAGGGAUAGUUGGGGGCAUUAGUAUUCAAUUGUCAGAGGUGAAAUUCUUGGAUUUAUUGAAGACUAACUUCUGCGAAAGCAUUUGCCAAGGAUGUUUUCAUUAAUCAAGAACGAAAGUUAGGGGAUCGAAGACGAUCAGAUACCGUCGUAGUCUUAACCAUAAACUAUGCCGACUAGGGAUCGGACGAUGUUAAAUUUAUUGACUCGUUCGGCGCCUUACGG